rnacentral:lncRNA from 1 species
GUCCCGAAAUCCAUCGGAUCCAGCCUCUUCCGACAGUUUAUUUUCACAUAACGUUGGGUCAUCCAAGAAUUUUUCUAUUGGAUUUCCAUCCAACAUAUAAUCAGGUGGUUGAGGAAAAUGUUUGCGUAUCGCUCUUACUUACAGAAGAAGCCUUAGCGUAUGGAAGAAUAUACUGGAAAACGUCUGCACAUUGUUCUUUUGUUUGAUAAUCUCCGUGGCUUGUAUUUUUAUGCACGGAUAGAUCGUCUUCGUACGAUGAAUCAGAUCUAAGAUGCAAACCAUACAAACAAAAAAAACAUUGAUCUAAAGCGGUGUCGAUU